GUGAGGAAUAUUGGUCAAUGGUCGGAAGACUGAACCAGCCAUGCCGCGUGCAGGAAGACGGUCCUAUGGAUUGUAAACUGCUUUUAUUCGGGGAUAAACCUCCUUACGUGUAGGGAGCUGAAGGUACCGAAAGAAUAAGCACCGGCUAACUCCGUGCCAGCAGCCGCGGUAAUACGGAGGGUGCAAGCGUUAUCCGGAAUCAUUGGGUUUAAAGGGUCCGCAGGCGGGAUUGUAAGUAAGUGGUGAAAUCCGGCAGCUCAACUGUCGCACUGCCAUUGAUACUGCAGUCCUUGAAUUCGAUUGGAGUGGGCGGAAUAUGUCAUGUAGCGGUGAAAUGCUUAGAUAUGACAUAGAACACCGAUAGCGAAGGCAGCUCACUAAUUCUGAAUUGACGCUCAUGGACGAAAGCGCGGGUAGCAAACAGGAUUAGAAACCCCAGUAGUCC
rnacentral:rRNA from 1 species